AGCGAACGCUGGCGGCAGGCUUAACACAUGCAAGUCGAGCGGGCACUUUCGGGUGUCAGCGGCGGACGGGUGAGGAACGCGUGGGAACGUGCCCUCUGGUUCGGAAUAACUCAGGGAAACUUGAGCUAAUACCGGAUACGCCCUUUUGGGGAAAGGCUUGCUGCCGGAGGAUCGGCCCGCGUCUGAUUAGCUAGUUGGUGAGGUAACGGCUCACCAAGGCGACGAUCAGUAGCUGGUCUGAGAGGAUGAGCAGCCACACUGGGACUGAGACACGGCCCAGACUCCUACGGGAGGCAGCAGUGGGGAAUAUUGGACAAUGGGCGCAAGCCUGAUCCAGCCAUGCCGCGUGAGUGAUGAAGGCCUUAGGGUUGUAAAGCUCUUUUAUCCGGGACGAUAAUGACGGUACCGGAGGAAUAAGCCCCGGCUAACUUCGUG
rnacentral:rRNA from 1 species